rnacentral:miRNA from 14 species
CAUAAAGUAGAAAGCACUACUAG